rnacentral:rRNA from 5 species
AGCAACAAAUGCCCUGCUUCCAGGAAAAGCCUCUAAGCCUCAGGUAACAUCAAAUCGUACCCCAAACCGACACAGGUGGUCAGGUAGAGAAUACCAAGGCGCUUGAGAGAACUCGGGUGAAGGAACUAGGCAAAAUGGUGCCGUAACUUCGGGAGAAGGCACGCUGACACGUAGGUGAAGUGGUUUACCCAUGGAGCUGAAGUCAGUCGAAGAUACCAGCUGGCUGCAACUGUUUAUUAAAAACACAGCACUGUGCAAACACGAAAGUGGACGUAUACGGUGUGACGCCUGCCCGGUGCCGGAAGGUUAAUUGAUGGGGUCAGCGCAAGCGAAGCUCCUGAUCGAAGCCCCGGUAAACGGCGGCCGUAACUAUAACGGUCCUAAGGUAGCGAAAUUCCUUGUCGGGUAAGUUCCGACCUGCACGAAUGGCGUAAUGAUGGCCAGGCUGUCUCCACCCGGGACUCAGUGAAAUUGAACUCGCUGUGAAGAUGCAGUGUACCCGCGGCAAGACGGAAAGACCCCGUGAACCUUUACUAUAGCUUGACACUGAACACUGGUCCUUGAUGUGCAGGAUAGGUGGGAGGCUUUGAAGUGUGGACGCCAGUCUGCAUGGAGCCAUCCUUGAAAUACCACCCUUUAAUGGCUGGUGUUCUAACGUGGGCCCGUGAACCGGGUUGCGGACAGUGUCUGGUGGGUAGUUUGACUGGGGCGGUCUCCUCCUAAAGAGUAACGGAGGAGCACGAAGGUUGGCUAAUCCUGGUCGGACAUCAGGAGGUUAGUGCAAUGGCAUAAGCCAGCUUGACUGCGAGCGUGACGGCGCGAGCAGGUGCGAAAGCAGGUCAUAGUGAUCCGGUGGUUCUGAAUGGAAGGGCCAUCGCUCAACGGAUAAAAGGUACUCCGGGGAUAACAGGCUGAUACCGCCCAAGAGUUCAUAUCGACGGCGGUGUUUGGCACCUCGAUGUCGGCUCAUCACAUCCUGGGGCUGAAGUAGGUCCCAAGGGUAUGGCUGUUCGCCAUUUAAAGUGGUACGCGAGCUGGGUUUAGAACGUCGUGAGACAGUUCGGUCCCUAUCUGCCGUGGGCGCUGGAAGAUUGAGGGGGGCUGCUCCUAGUACGAGAGGACCGGAGUGGACGCAUCACUGGUGUU